UACGUAGGGACCAAGCGUUGUUCGGAUUUACUGGGCGUAAAGGGCGCGUAGGCGGCGUGGUCAGUCACUUGUGAAAUCUCUGAGCUUAACUCAGAACGGCCAAGUGAUACUGCUGUGCUAGAGUGCAGAAGGGGCAAUCGGAAUUCUUGGUGUAGCGGUGAAAUGCGUAGAUAUCAAGAGGAACACCUGAGGUGAAGACGGGUUGCUGGGCUGACACUGACGCUGAGGCGCGAAAGCCAGGGGAGCAAACGGG
rnacentral:rRNA from 1 species